AGUGGGGAAUAUUGCACAAUGGGCGAAAGCCUGAUGCAGCAACGCCGCGUGAGUGAUGAAGGCCUUCGGGUCGUAAAACUCUGUCCUAUGGGAAGAAUAAAAUGACGGUACCAUAGGAGGAAGCCCCGGCUAACUACGUGCCAGCAGCCGCGGUAAUAUGUAGGGGGCAAGCGUUAUCCGGAAUCACUGGGCGUAAAGGGUGCGUAGGCGGCUCAUCAAGUCAGGGGUGAAAGGCAUUGGCUCAACCAAUGUAAGCCUUUGAAACUGAAGAGCUUGAGUGCAGGAGAGGUAAGUGGAAUUCCUAGUGUAGAGGUGAAAUUCGUAGAUAUUAGGAGGAACACCAGUGGCGAAGGCGACUUACUGGACUGUAACUGACGCUGAGGCACGAAAGCGUGGGUAGCGAACAGGAUUAGAUACCCUGGUAGUCCGCGCCGUAAACGAUGAAUACUAGGUGUCGGGGGUCGUACCUCGGUGCCGCAGCAAACGCAUUAAGUACUCCGCCUGGGGAUUACGGUCGCAAGACUG
rnacentral:rRNA from 1 species